GAAGGGGAAGCUCAGUGGUAGAGCACAUACGUAGCAUGCAUGAGGUCCCGGGUUCAAUCCCUAGUACCUCCA
rnacentral:tRNA from 1 species